GACGAACGCUGGCGGCGUGCCUAAUACAUGCAAGUUGAGCGCUGAAGGUUGGUACUUGUACCAACUGGAUGAGCAGCGAACGGGUGAGUAACGCGUGGGGAAUCUGCCUUUGAGCGGGGGACAACAUUUGGAAACGAAUGCUAAUACCGCAUAAAAACUUUAAACACAAGUUUUAAGUUUGAAAGAUGCAAUUGCAUCACUCAAAGAUGAUCCCGCGUUGUAUUAGCUAGUUGGUGAGGUAAAGGCUCACCAAAGCGAUGAUACAUAGCCGACCUGAGAGGGUGAUCGGCCACAUUGGGACUGAGACACGGCCCAAACUCCUACGGGAGGCAGCAGUAGGGAAACUUCGGCAAUAGACGAAAGUCUGACCGAGCAACGCCGCGUGAGUGAAGAAGGUUUUCGGAUCGUAAAACUCGGUUGGUAGAGAAGAACGUUGGUGAGAGUGGAAAGCUCAUCAAGUGACGGUAACUACCCAGAAAGGGACGGCUAACUACGUG
rnacentral:rRNA from 1 species